AGAGUUUGAUCAUGGCUCAGGAUGAACGCUGGCGGCGUGCCUAAUACAUGCAAGUCGAGCGGAAAGGCCUCUUCGGAGGUACUCGAGCGGCGGACGGCUGAGUAACGCGUAGGAACGUACCCCAAACUGAGGGAUAAGCACCAGAAAUGGUGUCUAAUACCGCAUGUGCUCUAAGGAGUAAAGCUUCGGCGGUUUGGGAA
rnacentral:rRNA from 1 species